GUCACAUCUGACGGCUGUACAGCUGCAUAAUCAAGUCUGCUCGCAUGAUUUGCAUGUAUGGGAGCGCGCUGAGAGACCGUAGGGGGUCGGACCGCCGAAUUGACGAAUUACGAAGUUAUAACUCAGAAGGGUUUCCUCUGACGGUGCGAAGUUUCGCUGAAUUUCGUUGAAGCUCGUGACUUUCCGGUGACCUUCGAGACGAAGAAACGAGAGUUUUCGCACCUCGCCGAAAACAUGCGGAUUUUCCUUCUUUACAGAGUGCCUUUGUGCGAAGAUCUUUUUGUGGAGAGUUCGAAUAUUUAUGGUUUAACUGUUCAUGCAUUCGUGGGCAUCGUUGUUUUCCCCCUUCGGAACUCGCAGCAGCCUAGCGCGACAUGGCUGCAUGAGAUGAGGCGAGAGGAAGUUCUUUGAGAGAGCUCAACAGAGGAGAACUUUUCCCUCUCUGAGUCUUUCUUCGUGUCUUCACAAGAGUUUUCACACGAGGGUAAACAGGGAAGGCCGAUGACAGAGAAGACAGGAUCUUCGACGAGAGCAGAAGACAUUCUGGUCUUUGUGUCGAAAGAACAGACGCUCUCAGACCACUGCAGUUCUUUUAAAGUGUGUUUCGCAACUUUUCGGAGUGGAAGUCACGUCUGUUCUUCUUCUGUUGUUUUGAUUCGAGAAGCCCUGUGAAGCCUUUUUUGACGAGAAACUCCUCCAGCAGUGUACUUUCACAGGCUUGGGAUCAGAGCUGAAUGUACACAGACUAGGAAGGCGGGAGGUUUUCAAGUUGAAAGAUGAAUUCCGAUCCAGG
rnacentral:lncRNA from 1 species